UGCUCUUCUUCGCAAGCUUCUUUGUGUCGUCGUGGCCGACAAUUUUUUCUCUGUCGCCUCAAGUGCCACAUUUUGCACGGGUAGAAGCGCUGUAACAGAAGACACGGGUCAGUGUUCGAGAGGAAUGUCGCAAAAAACGACAGAAUACGAUGGAAUGCCAACUGCACUGCCAGUAGUAAUACUGUUUACGUUCACCCCGGAUGCCCUCGAAAUCCUCCUGUGCAACGCAGCUACGUUCUGAAGAGCGCUACUCCGUGCUGCAAGUUAUGAAGAUGCGCUUUACACAAGCGAGGAUGUCUGGCUUCGUAUCAUGGAACACUCGCCAGAAACCUGAGAUGGGAUAGCGACAAAUGACCCUUCGUGACAGGAAAUCCGGCCAUCAUCGCUCGAAAAUAGCAUGCACGGCAUUGGGCAUUAAAGUUUUGUAUUUGCAGGAAGCAAUAGUCGGUCCGCGCGGGCAGAUUCGUGACCUUCGCUCGCUCUCGCUCGCUGUGUGCUUAUUCGCCACAAUGUCUUUACACUCGCAUUCAUGAACCCCGCUGUGGCGCACAGAUAAAGAAGAUGGAGGACAUGCCACGCGCGGAUAGAAAGAAAAACAAUACGGCAAGCGGCAACGGGUAAAGGGGGAGCGAGCCGAGGUAGCCGAGGAGGGUUGGCAUAAAUAAAUAACAAGGGAGAUCCAAAGGGUAAGUAAGCGCCAGGUGUCGGUGCACGGGACUGCGGGAUAUGAAUGUAGAGGGUGCAUCUAUUAUGCAAGCGCGCUCAUUACGCGAAUAAAUACGAAAUAAAUACAAAACCAACAUGCAACAAGCACGA